AUGCACGCUGGCGGCGUGCCUCAUACAUGCAAGUCGCGCGCACAGACGAGGAGCUUGCUCCUCUGACGUUAGCGGCGGACGGGUGAGUAACACGUGGAUAACCUACCUAUAAGACUGGGAUAACUUCGGGAAACCGGAGCUAAUACCGGAUAAUAUAUUGAACCGCAUGGUUCAAUAGUGAAAGACGGUUUUGCUGUCACUUAUAGAUGGAUCCGCGCCGCAUUAGCUAGUUGGUAAGGUAACGGCUUACCAAGGCAACGAUGCGUAGCCGACCUGAGAGGGUGAUCGGCCACACUGGAACUGAGACACGGUCCAGACUCCUACGGGAGGCAGCAGUAGGGAAUCUUCCGCAAUGGGCGAAAGCCUGACGGAGCAACGCCGCGUGAGUGAUGAAGGUCUUCGGAUCGUAAAACUCUGUUAUUAGGGAAGAACAAAUGUGUAAGUAACUAUGCACGUCUUGACGGUACCUAAUCAGAAAGCCACGGCUAACUACGUG
rnacentral:rRNA from 1 species